UGCGAAGGGGGCUAGCGUUGCUCGGAAUCACUGGGCGUAAAGGGCGCGUAGGCGGCGUUUUAAGUCGGGGGUGAAAGCCUGUGGCUCAACCACAGAAUGGCCUUCGAUACUGGGACGCUUGAGUAUGGUAGAGGUUGGUGGAACUGCGAGUGUAGAGGUGAAAUUCGUAGAUAUUCGCAAGAACACCGGUGGCGAAGGCGGCCAACUGGACCAUUACUGACGCUGAGGCGCGAAAGCGUGGGGAGCAAACAGG
rnacentral:rRNA from 1 species